rnacentral:rRNA from 1 species
AUAGAAUUAUUGCUGCGGUUAAAAAGCUCGUAGUUGGAUCUGUGCUAGGGACUCGGUCCACCUUCUGGGUGCGUACUGAGCUCCUUGGCUUGAACUGUCGGUUCGUCCGUUCGUGGCCUUUACUGGUUGCGUUCGGUUGCUGACGAUUUUACUUUGAACAAAUCAGAGUGCUUAAUACAGGCGUUUCGCUUGAAUGUUCUUGCAUGGAAUAAUAGAAAAGGAUUUCGGUUCUAUUUUAUUGGUUUUAUAGACUGAGAUAAUGGUUAACAGAGACAAACGGGGGCAUUCGUAUCGCUGCGUGAGAGGUGAAAUUCUUGGACCGCAGCGAGACGAACUACAG